rfam:Schistosoma margrebowiei strain Zambia genome assembly, scaffold: SMRZ_contig0000017
AUCUAGCUGAUGAGUCUCAGACAAGACGAAACAUGCGUUGUAGAU